UUUUGCGUGCUCUUUUUUUUAUAUUGUCAAACUGCAGUAAGUUAUUUACUUCCACAGUCUAUAAAUAUGUAAGCAAAACACUGUACUGGUAAUGCUUAAAGUGUUGUCAGGUGGCAAUUGAAGCAAAAUAAACCCUUUUAAAUUAGCCGCGAAUUUAACUUCUCUCAUUCUGAAGGCCCGUAAGUUAAACAUGAUGGCGCAAGCAACCGCGAAGACUGAAGAUAUUAAUUCUGUAUAUUACUAAAGACUGAAGAUAAUACCGCCGCGAUGCAUUCUGUAUGUAAUUGGUUUUAUUCUACGUAGAGGACACUUUAUAAAUCUUCAGAGGAUGGGAGAGGCAUUCACAACCUGACGCAGUUUGACGGACGGAUGGGAGCUGUAGAAAAGGCCAGCUAUGUAUAGAGACAUUAAUGCCACCUUGUGACUUUAAGAGGUAUUGCGCUGAUGAAUCAGCAUUUCCCUUUAACAAUCCCUUUAACAGUAUUAACAGGAUGCAGUUCAGAGCACGGACAUUCUUCGCUAUAGUUCAAGCUGUUGUUGUUUUCUGCUGAGUGCGUUCAUAUACAAAACCACUCAUACUAAGCUACACUCCAAACUGGGUUGUACUACUCUGUCAUACUCACUGCUAUCUGUACUACGAUCAUUCACUCAACCAAAUUCAAAGACUGUAACCCUCUACAAGCUUCAAACCAUUAAAGUGUACUUCGUCUCUGACCGGACGACUUGUGUCUGCUAAAUUUCCACCAGCACCCACACUAGUCUACCUCACAAAUGGUCCUUCGAGCCGGAAUUGAAGAGCUGUCAUAAGAAUGAUGCAUCAGAGUGAUCCAGAUCCUAUACCUGACCUUCCUGAGCCCGCAGUCAGACCCAAACGAGUGGUGCGGCUCCCUAGUUACUUGUCAGAUUUCGAGCUCACUGAUCAUCAACAGAGGUUACAGUCUAGACAGAGAGUAGAUACUUCCUCAGGGACGAGUGAUGAUUCAGAAUUGCAAGGAGCGACUGCACCCAAGCUCACCGACACCUUCCCUGAGUGUGAAACAAGUAUGCAGCCAAGACAGCCGCUGAUAGAGUGGAGUCCCAGUAGAAAGUAUGAACAACAGCGAGCACAUACGUCACCCUUUCCUGAGCUGUCGUCAGAAGUUCUAGCAGAGUUCCAGCAGUUGCGGAAAGAGACUGAGGAACUGCAACGUCAUUCCUAUGAGCAGAUAAUGAGACUGAAGGAGAAGAAUGAGGCCCUGGAAACUCAGUUGAGCCUACUUGCAGUGAGUGAUCGGUCUAGUCAUCAUCCACAGAUUACAUCUUCCCCUGUUCCUCAGCCUCGGGUCACUACUUCUCCUACCACUACAGAUGCCAGGCCCAUCUCUCUGCCUAGAUCCAAGCUACCCCAGAGACCGACUGAAAGUGUAGCAGAGUCAUUGAGACAAGAUCGCCUGCAUGAUUUAGAACAGAGGCUAGGCAGCUGGAGAUGAUAUCACCGCCAACUCCUGCCCGACCCUCACAGCAUCAGUCCUUCCCCCAUAGAUCUUAUGACAGAGUUGAUGAUCGUAGAAGUGGCUACAGCUCGACCCAGUUACGUGUUCCUCUUUGUGAAGCCAGAUCCAAGAGAGUUCUCCCGUCUGCGCAUCGCUUUGGAGAACAUUCUGCCAGCAGACGCUACAGAGAGAUUUAAAUACCAGAUUCUCGUCGAUCACCUGAAGUUGGAGGAAGCCCUGUUGAUUGCAGACUCCUAUUGUAACUCAUUAUGCCCUUUCUCAGAUACUAUGGAGGCGCUUAACCAACAGUACGGACAGCCUCACCAGUUGGCCCUUCAGAGAAUAGCUGAACUUAUGGAUGGUCUGAACAUCAGACAAAGGGGAUGUGAGAGCUUUCCGGAUGUUUGCACUGAAAGUUCGCUCUCUAGUUAGUAUGCUUCAGCGACUGGGGAAUAAAGGUUACAUGGAGUUAGAGUGCGGUUCCCAUGUAUCAAGACUGUUGUGUAAGCUUCCACAUGAUCUGCAGACUAGUUUUAGACGGUCUGUCCAUCCCCAACGAGUUCCCAUCCCUACCUUGCUGGAUCUCUCAGCGUGGUUAGAAUUUGAGUUGCAAGUUCAAGAAGACAGUACCAGGUUCUAUCCUCCAAUGAGUAAGCCAAUGCCCAUAGACAAGAGGGGACAUCAGAGAGACACGAGACAGCCAACGAAGGCCACAAGUAUCUUCCUUGGUACAGAGAAACACAGCAGUGACAUACCAGGUAAAGCACCCGACCCUAAACCCAGAGACAGGAAGAUAUUCUGCCCAUAUUGUGAUGCUCAAGACCACUACUUGAAUGGGUGUGCCAGUUUCCAGAGUCUUAACAGAGAUCAGAAAGUGUAUUGGAUACAAUCACACAAGAGAUGUUGGCGUUGUGGAAGAGCCCAUCAAGCUGCACAGUGUAACCUCAAGACACCCUGCAAGAGUUGUAAUCGCUGCCACUUGUACAUCCUCCAUGACGUUAACUAUCGAUCCGUUGUGAAGACGCCUGAGACACCUAAGGUCGGACCUUCAGAGAGUUGCUUGGUGAACACGACUACAGAGACACUGUACCUAGAUCGGCCCACUGAUAGUCGGCGUGUCUUACUAAAGAUCUGCAAGGUACUCCUGAGAAAUGGCAGUCAGUGCUUUGGACGACGGAUCAGAACGCACCAUCCUCCUUCAUUCAGCGGCCCAGCAGCUCGGAUUGACUGGUCGACCCGAAGAGCUUGUUCUACGUACAGUUAGACAAGACCUUCACAUCCUGCAUGGUGCUUCAGUAACCUUCACAGUGUCACCAGCAUCCCAACCCAAGACUUCAUUCAGGAUUCGUCAAGCCUUUACAGCAGAGACACUGGGAUUAGCUGAGCAUACGUAUCCAGUAGAUGAGUUACAACGCAAGUAUAGCCAUCUGCAAGGUCUACAGUUGCCAUCUGUUGAAUCCGUCCAACCACUCCUCCUUAUAGGAUCAGAUUACCCUCACCUCAUUACCUCAGUAAAGCCAGUUCGUCUAGGCCCGCCUAACGGUCCUGCUGCCAUCAAGACCAGACUCGGUUGGACCCUGCAAGGUCCCACUCAAGAGAUCAAGCAUCGCUUUCCCAGCCAGCAGUGUCUCUUUACAGCUACUUCAAGCUCGUAUACCGACCUGUACAGACAAGUUGAGAAAUUUUGGCAACUAGACGUGCUCCCGUACCGCAGUGAGAAGCUCAUUACACGCUCAAAGCAAGAUCAAGAAGCCUUUUCACUGCUCGAAUCCAAGACUACUAGAGUUACAGUAGACGGAGUAGCCAGAUAUGCCACACCCUUAUUAUGAGUAAAAGAUAUGCCUCUCCUGCGAGCUUCCCCAGAUACCACUUUGCCUUUUCUGUGUGGAAUUGAGAGGCGAUUAGCCAGAGAUCCAGCACAAGCAGCAGCCUACCAGGUGGAGAUGAACAAGUUGAAGGAGGCAGGAUACGCACAAGUAAUACCUCCCGAACAAGUGGAUCAAACUGAGGAGUUGUGGUACAUUCCCCACCAUAUGACGCAACAUAACGGCAAGAACAGAGUUGUCUUCAACUGUUCAUUCCAACAUGGAGGGAAAAAUCUCAACAAGUUGCUUCUCCCUGGUCCCACGCUGAGUCCUUCUCUGAUGUCUGUCCUCCUGAGAUUCCGUGAACACACUGUUGCGUUGAGUAGUGAUAUUUGAGGCAUGUUCCAUCAGGUGCGACUGCUACCAGAGGACCGCCCACUACUAAGAUUCCUCUGGCGGGACCUCAACAUAGAUCAGUCUCCCCAAGUUUACGAGUGGCAAGUUCUCCCGUUUGGGACAACAUGCAGCCCUUGCUGCGCAACUUUUGCCCUCCAAAAGCAUGUCAUCGACCAUAGUCAGCCAGGCGAAGAUGUCCGAGAAAGUAUAGAGAAGUACUUCUAUGUGGACAACUUCCUCCAGAGUUUCUGUUCCCAAGAAGAAGCCAGGGCACCAGCAUGCAUCUUCGUCAGAACAAGAGUAGCAGAGAUACAGGAGUUAACAGACCCCCAGGAUUGGCGUUAUGUUGAUUCCAAGUCUAAUCCUGCUGAUAACAUCACUAGGGGCAAGACGUUGGCCGAGUUAUCCAAUGCAAGCAGAUGGCGUCUUGGCCCAUCAUUCUUUCACCUACCCACAGAUCAGUGGUCCUACAGCUACCAACUGAAGAUUCAGAGCUGAAACAGGUCACAUUCUGUGGACUUACAGUUCCUGUCAACAACCCAGCCUUGCCUGAUUGCAAUCAGUUUGGGUCUUAUAAGGAACUACUAGCAGCUACAGCUAGAGCCUUGCACGGGGUGGCUACCCCUACGGAAGUGCUAACAGCUGAGGAUUAUAGAGAAGCUGAACUAGCCCUCCUUCAUCAAGCACAAAUCCAAAGUUUCCCAGUCGAGAUGGCUCAUCUUAAGUCCGGUAAACCUCUACCAAUGAGUAGUCGUCUCUUGUGCCUUGCCCCAGAGUAUGACAUCAUUACCCACCUCAUCAGAGUUGGUGGUCGUCUCAGACGAACAGAGCAGCUAGACGAAUCCGCCAUUCACCCUAUAGUUCUUGACCCUAAGCAUCCCCUAAGCAGACUCAUGAUCCAGGACGUAGAUUAAAUUCUACACCAUCCAGGAGCAGAGAGGGUGUUUGCUGAAGUACGACGUAAGUACUGGAUAUUGAGAGGCCGACAAGCUAUUCGGCAGCACCAAAGAACCUGCUUAGGCUGUAAACAGUGGAGAGGCCAGCCCAGUAUUCCCAGGAUGGCCGACUUACCUCCUUCAAGACUGCGCUUACUUCAACCAGCCUUCUACUCCACUGGAGUGGACUGCUUCGGCCCUUACCUCAUCAAGAUUGGGCGCAGACAUGAGAAAAGAUGGGGUAUCAUAUUUAAGUGUCUGACAACGAGAGCUGUAUACCUGGACCUGCUCUAUCAGAUGGACACAGAUUCAUUCUAAAUGGCCCUCCGAAGAUUCAUCUCCCGCAGAGGCAAGCCAUUCGAGAUCAUCUCUGACCAAGGUACAAACUUCAGAGGUGGUGAGAGAACACUACAAGAAGAUUUCGCUGUGCUCCAUCCUUCCCUCCAGAAGCAAUUAGCCAGUCACCAGAUUAGCUUUAAGUUCAACCCCCCAGGCGCUUCGCACUUUGGAGGCUGUUGGGAAAGAGAGAUAAGAUCCCUGAAAUUAGUUCUCUGUUCUACUAUAGGGGAUCAAAUUGUGACAGAGGAAGUGCUGCGUACUGUGCUUGUUGAGAUUGAAGGCAUUCUCAAUUCAAAGCCAUUCGGCUAUACGUCCUCAGACGUAGCGGACCCUGACCCAGUCACUCCCAACAUGCUGCUCAUGGGGCGGCCUGACUCAUCCUUGCCGCAAGUAAUAUACCCUGAAUCAGAGAUGCUGAGCAAACGGAGAUGGAGACACAGUCAGCUUCUAGCAGACCAGUUCUGGAGACGUUUCCUCCGUAACUAUCUCCCAGAACUGCAAGUCCGGCAGAAGUGGCACAGAGAGGCAGAGAACAUACAGCCAGGCACAGUUGUCAUGAUUGUCGAUCAUCAAUUACCCCGAGCUCUAUGGCCAGUUGGACAAGUAACAAAAGUUCUUCCUGGAGAAGAUGGGAGAGCCCGGACUGCUGAAGUGGAAGUCAAGAAGAAGACCUAUCUUCGUCCCGUCACCCGGCUCAUCAGCCUCCCUGCUUUACCAGAUUGAGUACCCUUUAGUGCUACCCCCUUACUUGAUCCCUUACCGUAGUGCCUUUUCUGAAUUACACAUUUACACAGCAAAUGAGGGGGUGGCUGUAGAAAAGGCCAGCUAUGUAUAGAGACAUUAAUGCCACCUUGUGACUUUAAGAGGUAUUGCGCUGAUGAAUCAGCAUUUCCCUUUAACAAUCCCUUUAACAGUAUUAACAGGACGCAGUUCAGAGCACGGACAUUCUUCGCUAUAGUUCAAGUUGUUGUUGUUUUCUGCUGAGUGCGUUCAUAUACAAAACCACUCAUACUAAGCUACACUCCAAACUGGGUUGUACUACUCUGUCAUACUCACUGCUAUCUAUACUACGAUCAUUCACUCAACCAAAUUCAAAGACCGUAACCCUCUACAAGCUUCAAACCAUUAAAGUGUACUUCGUCUUGUGUCUGCUAAAUUUCCACCAGCACCCACACUAGUCUACCUCACAGGAGCUAAGCCAGAGGUGGUUCAAGAUGCUGUCUGAGUGUUCUCUCCAGCCGUGCGUCUACAGUGUGCCCCAGUCUGUCUGCUCCAGUGAUCAGCUCCUGAAGGCUGUUCCUCCACCUGUGUGAAGUGUGUGCUCUGGUCCGUAUUCAGGUUGUCCUGUCAAGACAAAGAUCUCCCGUCAACAUAUCAGCAGCAGUUACCUGGACAACUGAACAUCACACUUACCACCUUCAAGCCAUAUUG